AGAGUUUGAUCCUGGCUCAGGAUGAACGCUGGCGGCGUGCUUAACACAUGCAAGUCGAACGAUGAAGCCCAGCUUGCUGGGUGGAUUAGUGGCGAACGGGUGAGUAACACGUGAGUAACCUGCCCUUGACUCUGGGAUAAGCCUGGGAAACUGGGUCUAAUACUGGAUACGACCUUCCACCGCAUGGUGUGGGGGUGGAAAGCUUUUGUGGUUUUGGAUGGACUCGCGGCCUAUCAGCUUGUUGGUGGGGUAAUGGCCUACCAAGGCGACGACGGGUAGCCGGCCUGAGAGGGUGGACGGCCACACUGGGACUGAGACACGGCCCAGACUCCUACGGGAGGCAGCAGUGGGGAAUAUUGCACAAUGGGCGCAAGCCUGAUGCAGCGACGCCGCGUGAGGGAUGAAGGCCUUCGGGUUGUAAACCUCUUUCAGUAGGGAAGAAGCGUAAGUGACGGUACCUGCAGAAGAAGCGCCGGCUAACUACGUGCCAGCAGCCGCGGUAAUACGUAGGGCGCAAGCGUUAUCCGGAAUUAUUGGGCGUAAAGAGCUCGUAGGCGGUUUGUCGCGUCUGCCGUGAAAGUCCGGGGCUUAACUCCGGAUCUGCGGUGGGUACGGGCAGACUUGAGUGAUGUAGGGGAGACUGGAAUUCCUGGUGUAGCGGUGAAAUGCGCAGAUAUCAGGAGGAACACCGAUGGCGAAGGCAGGUCUCUGGGCAUUAACUGACGCUGAGGAGCGAAAGCAUGGGGAGCGAACAGGAUUAGAUACCCUGGUAGUCCAUGCCGUAAACGUUGGGCACUAGGUGUGGGGGACAUUCCACGUUUUCCGCGCCGUAGCUAACGCAUUAAGUGCCCGCCUGGGGAGUACGGCCGCAAGGCUAAACUCAAGGAAUUGACGGGGGCCCGCACAGCGGCGAGCAUGCGAUA
rnacentral:rRNA from 1 species